UGAGGAAUAUUGCGCAAUGGGGGCAACCCUGACGCAGCAACGCCGCGUGAGUGAGGAAGGUUUUCGGACCGUAAAGCUCUGUCGAGCGGGAAGAAAUGCAUGGUGGCUAAUAUCCAUCAUGCUUGACGGUACCGCUAAAGGAAGCACCGGCUAACUCCGUGCCAGCAGCCGCGGUAAUACGGGGGGUGCGAGCGUUGUUCGGAAUUAUUGGGCGUAAAGAGCGUGUAGGCGGCCGAAUAAGUCAGAUGUGAAAUCCCUGGGCUUAACCCAGGACGUGCAUUUGAAACUAUUCGGCUGGAGUAGGGGAGAGGAAAGUGGAAUUCCUGGUGUAGAGGUGAAAUUCGUAGAUAUCAGGAGGAACACCGGUGGCGAAAGCGACUUUCUGGCCCUAUACUGACGCUGAGACGCGAGAGCGUGGGUAGCGAACAG
rnacentral:rRNA from 1 species